rnacentral:hammerhead_ribozyme from 1 species
UUUAAAUGACGAGUCCCAGAUAGGACGAAACACGUGUCCUGAAA